GAAGAAACGAAAGAGUGAUCAAUCUGAAGAUCUAACAAUGAAACAGAAUGAUCUUUAUGCAGAUGUGUCACAGAGAGUUUCAGUUAAUGACGAGUCUCUUUCUGAACAUGAUCCAGUCAAUGAUGCUCUGUAUGCCAGUGUGAAACCCAGCAGAUCCAGAGGAGAAACUCCUGAAUCCGGAGAUACUGAGGAGAUCCAGGACGCAACUGUCCAAUAUCACCGAAAGAAAGAGAGGAACAGACCGGAAGAAGAUGAAUGUCAGUAUGACGAUAUAAGUUAAUCGGCUGCCAUGAGAUUUUCUAGGAAAUCAAAUGUUCAAACUGUGGAAGACUUAUCAGUGAUCUACAGCAAUGUCGGAUGAGAAGUCAGAAGUCAGAAAGAGCUUUAUUGUAUGUAUGACUGCACAGACAAAACCUGCGUCCAUCUGUUUAAUGAUUGACUGUUGGAUUAUUGUAUAAUUGUGGAAACAUUUACUCAUCUGUUUAGACCACCACCACUAUAUGUUCAAAACCCACAUUUUCUUUGAUUCUUCAUAUAUGAGCAGAGGUGUCAAGUCCAGGGGUCAGAAAGUAAAAGUCCUGCCAUAUUUUUGUUCCACCCAUGAACUCAGCAGCUGAUUUCACCAGAGGAGGAACCAAGUCAUUCCUUUCAAGUCACAAACGAGUCUCAAGUCAAAUCCCAAGUCCUCAAAGAGUUAAAGUCAAUGAG